AUCAAAUGGAGAGUUUGAUCCUGGCUCAGGAUGAACGCUGGCGGCAUGCCUAAUACAUGCAAGUCGAACGAAGUCUUCAGGAAGCUUGCUUCCAAAAAGACUUAGUGGCGAACGGGUGAGUAACACGUAGGUAACCUGCCCAUGUGUCCGGGAUAACUGCUGGAAACGGUAGCUAAAA
rnacentral:rRNA from 1 species